AUAUUUUUAUCUGGGAGACUGCGAGUCUCUGUCUGUGCAGGGUAUUAAUGUGUCAGAGCUGCCUAUUCCAGGAUUUCUCUAGAGGCUGGCAAGAGUCCUGAAACAGUUGUCAUUUCUGUCUUGGCCAGUCUUAAAUGGGCUUGGAUCUUCCCAACCCAG